GGGCACCUUGACGACGAGAAUAACUGGCUGGACGAGCUCAUUAUCUUCUAGGCUUCGAUUGAGGAAAACGGAACCGUUUAAUGGAUCAAGAACGAAAUCUUGGUAUUCUACUCCUCCUGUUGUUAUUUAAUUUGAGUUUAACAAGAGAAAAGGUGGCCAUACCGGCGUUCCAUGCAUAUCGAAUGGAUGCAUUGAUUCCUGCGUCCUGAUCAACGGCCCGCAUCGGUUCCGGUCGGAUUUCCAGCCCGGUUCCCUGGGGAAAAAGGAGAGAAAAAUCGAAAGUGGUUUUCUACAUCUCUCUUCGUGUGUGUGAAUCAAGCCGAUGGUGGAGACCGUUAGAAGGAGUAGUAUCAAGUGUAGCCUACUGUAUAAAACCGCACAAACAGUCCAUUGUUUGGGGUGGAGUUGACGACCGCAAUAGUUCGUUAUUUCGUGAUCGAGGGUCUUACGACUUCUUCAGGUAAGAUCUAAGACACUGACCUCCAAACGCAAUCAACGGCGACCUGCAGCCCCAAAUCUAAUCCGACAUUUCUUUCUCUACGUCUAAUCUUUUUUUUUUUUUUUUUUUUUUUCUUUCUUUGUCGCCAUCAAGUGAAGAGGAAGAGAGGAAAUGAUGACAACUUUAGUUCUUCUUUUGUAACAUGCGCCGUGCCCUGGAAAUUCGAUCCAGCGUGUGCUAUUCACGCUGACAAAUUGAAUUAAAAAAGAACCGCGGGACUUGUGACUCCUUGGUGGUUUAUGGAGCUGAAAUUGUUGCCUUGAUGAAAGAAGAAAAAUCGUCAGUAGCUUUUUCUUUAUGACGUCUGCGGGCGAACAUUGCUCACAAAAAAGUCGGCACGGCCUCAAUUUCCCAUUCGUUACCGCACGCCUUCGCCGCCGCUACUACCACACAUCAACCAACGCAGUAUCUCGAAACAAUUAUUCUCUCCAUUGUCCUAGUGUGAAAACAUCAAUGAAAGUAGGAGAAAGAAAAAAAGAUUUGCCGAAACCCGGGAUCGAACCAGGGACCUUUAGAUCUUCAGUCUAACGCUCUCCCAACUGAGCUAUUUCGGCAUACCACCUGCUGCUAGACGCAAAGUCUAAAUCGCAUUGUCCUUUGCUUAACUAAUUCACGCGGCCAUAAAAGAAUAUCAGAAAUCGCAGCCACCCCAUCAUUUUAUAAGCUUUAAUUGACCAUUAAACAGUCAAUGACACUGAGAACAAUAUGGUCGAUGAGCCGUAAGCUUCUGAAGCAUCCGGUCUUUGUGCUAUCGAAACUUGCUCAGCCCGUGCUGCAAACGUUUGUUGUGCGCGCUAAUUGUGUGAAUACGCUCGGCAUCAGCAGCGCCGGCCAUAUCCUGUUCAAUGAAUAAUGAAUCGCUAAUGUCCAACUGUUACCAGAAGCGGAUGCCAUUGUCGGCCACUUAAGGAAACUGCGUCGACGGAAAUUCGUGAAUAAUUUCCCCUCAGGGAAAAAGGACGAAAAAAAAAAAAAUCUAAACCUCCAGCUACGUUUUCUCCCGGCGUGUUGAGAAAUUUGAUGGGCCGAAGACUCUGUUCAGCAUGACCAAUUGGUACAACGUGAAGAGAGAAAACUACGGAAUCAAAAAUAAAUUUGAAGUCACACAAAAAAAAUGUGGAGGGGGCACACAAAGAUAUUCAGAAACGCACAAGAAACAAAAGACGACCGGGGGGGCAGGAGAAGUAAACGGAAACCGGAAACUGUAUUACAGUAGCCCACCUCGCAGGACGAAAAACGAAUACCAUGUUCUAGACUUGAGCGUUUUAAUGGUAGAUAGAAUUGAAGUUUACCUGUGAGCUUCCUAGUGACAGUUCGGGGUUCGAGUUGAUCGACUACUAAUUCCACUUGAGUUACCAAU